rnacentral:rRNA from 1 species
GUUCCCUACGGGAGGCAGCAGUGGGGAAUUUUGCGCAAUGGGGGGAACCCUGACGCAGCAACGCCGCGUGCGGGACGAAGGCCCUCGGGUUGUAAACCGCUUUCAGCAGGGAAGAUCCAAGACGGUACCUGCAGAAGAAGCUCCGGCUAACUACGUGCCAGCAGCCGCGGUAAUACGUAGGGGGUGAGCGUUAUCCGGAUUUACUGGGUGUAAAGGGAGCGUAGACGGCGUCGCAAGUCUGAAGUGAAAGCCCGUGGCUCAACCGCGGAACCGCUUUGGAAACUGCGAGGCUGGAGUGUUGGAGG